CUCUUACCUCAGUUUCGUUCGUUUUUCAACCCCCUCAGUUUUUGCAUUUAUUAUUAACGGUACUAAUUUCUAGGGCUUUACAUUUCUUAACUGAAAUUUUAGGUUUUUUUUUUGUGGUUGUAUAAAUAACGCAGUGCUUCACUUUUGAUGGAGCAAAGACGACUUUGUUUUCAAUUGUCAGUUGAUCAGUUGAUGGAGCAAGUUCUCGCUAUCAAUGAGGAUAUAGAGCAUCAAGGUUUAUGUGCAUGUGAAGAAACAAACAAGCCAGAAGAUGAUGGAAGGAAAAUGGUGUUGCAGAGCGUAAAUUAGAAAAACGAACUUUAUUCUACAUACGAAAGUUCCUAUAGAAUUUUGGAGCUGGUCAUCCUACAAACUAUAUACCUUCUUCUACAUUUAUUGUUCAGCGCUCGGAGGUUAAGGGUGAGAGAAUCUACCUAUCUAUCAAGGCUUACGGAAUGAUAUCAGGUCCUAAUGGGAAAAUUAUGAAACCUGAAAUUUCAACUUCAACAGAGAACUUUUACUACGAAAGGUUGGACAAUGUUACAUGCACCAUUAUCAUGGUCCACGUGCCAGCAUACAGUGCUAUAUGGUGAACUAGACAUCUAGGUCCCAUGCAUUUUCCUCUCUUACAAUUUUAUAACUAUUUUUUUAAUAGCUUACAUGUGUAUUAUCUUGAGCAAGAUCGUUGUGUUUGUUCCAUUGUUAUAAUUUAGAACAUAAUUAUGAUGCUUUGCAUCUUGCGUUGCUUUCAGAGAUCCUACCAUCCCACUUGCAAGCAUUUCACCCUCUGAUAUUGCAUUUUCAUUGACGCGAUAUCUUAAAGAUCCAUAUAUGAUGGGUGUCCAUUGAUGAGGAUGAAGGUGACGACACAUGAUAAUUGUUUCUGUAUUACAACCUGUACAUUCUGGUGUGCAGGUGCUAAUGAUGGGUUUUUUUCUUCGAUCCACUUUUUCAAAUUCAUGAAUGGCUAUAGCCUAUAAACCUCCUAUCAACUUUUACCAAAAAUUCACUAUGGGAUGCAUGCGAAGACUCGAGUUUUGGGAAAUUUUUCCCAGGAUCUUAUGCUAGCAAAGGCUCUAUAUUUUAUCUCUAUUUACAAUUUUUGGUAUGUGAUUCGUGUUGUUUCUGAAAGUCUCUAACACAUGGCAUUGAAGUGUAUUACAUCUAUAAUUGGAGGUAGCAAAAUGUAGUUAAAUUUCUUGUUGUAUAUGAAAGUAAUGUUAAAAGAUGGAAGAAUGC